rnacentral:rRNA from 1 species
AUUAAUAAUUCAUGGUCCGGGGAAGUGUUCGGAUCGCUGUGAUGCGGGUGGUUCGCCGCCCGUGACUCUGCGAGAAGUCCAUUGAACCUUAUCAUUUAGAGGAAGGAGAAGUCGUAACAAGGUUUCCGUAGGUGAACCUGCGGAAGGAUCAUUGUCGAGAUCAAAAUAUAUCGAGCGAUUUGGAAAACAUGUGAAUGAGCGGUGGCACAUGCUGCACAUUAAUUUUCAUCUCCAAUGUUGGCAUCGUAAAUGAAGCCAUGUUGAGGGUUGGAUUAAAACUCAAACUGGCGCAGAUACGCGCCAAGGGAAUUUAAAUAUACGAGCCUGCAUCGGGUUCGAUGGCGUGGAGUGUGUCGCACUUCACACGGAUCAAAAUGACUCUCGGCAAUGGAUAUCUCGGCUCUCGCAUCGAUGAAGAGCGCAGCGAAAUGCGAUACGUGGUGCGAAUUGCAGAAUCCCGCGAACCAUCGAGAAUUUGAACGCAAGUUGCGCCUGAGGCCAGCCGGCCAAGGGCACGUCUGCCUGGGCGUCAAGCGUUACAUUGCUCCGUGCCAACUCCAUCCCACCUAACGGGUGUGCAUGUGGGAGGGUCGGAUGUAGAGAGUGGCUCGUCGUGCCCGCGGGCGCGCCGGGCUGAAGAGCGGGUGAUCAUCUCGUUGGCCACGUACAACAAGAGGUGGAUGAAAUAUGUGCCUGUGUUGUACAGUUUGGCUCGAGAAGAGAUUACACUCAUCGGAUGAUCCCAACCCGAGCGUGUCAAUCCACGGACAACGGCUUGGAAUGCGACCCCAGGAUGGGCGAGGCCACCCGCUGAGUUUAAGCAUAUCAAUAAGCGGAGGAGAAGAAACUUACAAGGAUUCCCCUAGUAACGGCGAGCGAACCGGGGAAUUCUA